AUUGAACGCUGGCGGCAGGCCUAACACAUGCGAGUCGAACGGUAACAGGAAGAAGCUUGCUUCUUUGCUGACGAGUGGCGGACGGGUGAGUAAUGUCUGGGAAACUGCCUGAUGGAGGGGGAUAACUACUGGAAACGGUAGCUAAUACCGCAUAACGUCGCAAGACCAAAGAGGGGGACCUUCGGGCCUCUUGCCAUCGGAUGUGCCCAGAUGGGAUUAGCUAGUAGGUGGGGUAACGGCUCACCUAGGCGACGAUCCCUAGCUGGUCUGAGAGGAUGACCAGCCACACUGGAACUGAGACACGGUCCAGACUCCUACGGGAGGCAGCAGUGGGGAAUAUUGCACAAUGGGCGCAAACCUGAUGCAGCCAUGCCGCGUGUAUGAAGAAGGCCUUCGGGUUGUAAAGUACUUUCAGCGGGGAGGAAGGGAGUAAAGUUAAUACCUUUGCUCAUUGACGUUACCCGCAGAAGAAGCACCGGCUAACUCCGUG
rnacentral:rRNA from 1 species